CUCUCCUAUAAAACAAGAGUGGAUUCGAGUGGAUCAGUGUCACUUGUAAAAAGAAAUCAUCAUCAUGAGCAGCAGCAGCAACAACAUUGAAGAAAACUGGGAUUUGGAGAUCGUCUCAGUGACACAGCCUUUGCCCCUGUGGAAAGGGUACCACUCAGAGUUAGAGAAGAAGAAAGAAACAUCACCAACAUUGUCUCCUCCAUGGCAAUGCGGCAGGUGCCAAGGGUGCCUGCCUGUCUAUGCCCUUGGUACAAGGGCACGGGAUGACACUUUCAAGUGCAUCUAUUGCGGAACUGUCCUGAAGGACACUUACGUGAGGCGUUUAACGCAAACUAGUAAGUGUCCUGUCAGGAGACAGGUGUCAAGCCACCCGUGCCUUUGCACUGCUGCGUGCACCUGCAUGUAAAGAAGUGAUCUUCAUCAAAACGGCCCUUUUCAGGGUCACCCAUCUCUCCCGAAAGAACUCUUUUCAUCCUUUGCUUUGACGACCCUCAAAACCCAAACAAAGAACCCACACCCUCCCCAGUCCUCUUGGAGGUACACGCCUAUGCGUGACACCAUGUUUCAAAACAUGUUUGUAUGUAUGGUGGUGUACACGAGUGGCAUCACGUGUGCCUGGAGACAGGAAUGAAACACCACGUAUGUCUAUCGAUCAGUAACGUCUGUUUGAAGACACGCAUGACACCACGUUUGCAUGGAGACACGCGUGACACUACGUUCGCAUCGCGACACGAAGUAUAUCACGUUUGCAAACGUCACGCAUGUGUAUCGAUCUAUACUUCUAGUAACGUGUGUUUGUAGUCACGCGUGGCACAACGUUUUGCAUGGAGACACGCAUGACACCACGUUUGCAUGGAGACACGAAGUACAUCACGUUUAAUGGAGACACGCGUGACAGUACACAUGUAGACAUACACGAGUACCAACUCCUCAGCAGGGAUGAGUGAGUGACAACGUCAUCAUCCUAGCUAUGGAUAAAUGUUUGAAGACACGCGUGGCACCACGUUUACAUGGAGAGACUUGGCACAUCACGUUUGUGUGGCCGAUGUAGUUUUUGUAUAUAUUUGUUUUAAUUUCAUUUAAGAUUUUUACAUAUAUCUAUUAUAUAUAACUAGUUGUCAGUUUCAGUCAGCUAUAACAAAGUGUAUCUGACCUGUCUUACCUACUAACUGCCCCAUGGCCAGAAGCUUCAUUUUUCUGAUUGGCCAAGCUAACUCCUAUUGUUAAAACUACAUGCUUUGAUUACACUGCACACUCUCUCAGCACAUAAACUCACAGAACUGCUCAGACCAGCAAAGGAUAAAGAGACAAUAUUAAAUCAGAUAAUCUAUGGUGUUGCCAUACGUGUGGCAGUUGGGAUCCACACCCUUGUAUCACCCACAGGGGUGUAUGAUAUAUAGAUCCUUGAUCACACUCAACGCAUCGCAAUAAAGACCUCAACCCCGUA